rnacentral:lncRNA from 10 species
GUUGGAGACCUGGAUGCCCCUCUCGCCUCUGGAGUGGCUGCCUGAGGAGCCCAAGUGACAAGGGACAACUGACGCCGUCUCUGUGAGCACCGAGGCUUUUUGGCCUCAGCACCUUCGAAGUGGUUCCUUGGCAGACUGCCUUUCCUGGAAGAGGGCACGGGCGAUCCCGACGGGGGCAUUCCUGCGGGUGAGAGCCGUCCCCACCGCGGCGGCCCUUCUCAGCCCCUCCCUCCAUGGAGGGACCCAUAGGGCUAGACACUUUGAGGCAAGCAGGAGGCUCUGCCUAAUGUGAAUUUAUUUAUUUGUGAAUAAACUGUACUGGUGUCAGUUGGCAAUUUCUUCUUCCUACCCGUGGACACAGAGCUCCCUCUCUCCCUCCAAAGAAGAGCAUGGGAGAGGUGGGAGGGGUUCUUGCAAUCUUUAGCCCCCCGACCCCCACAGGCCCAGACCCCUUUGGCCUUACCCCCAGCCCUGGCUCAGCAUCUAGUCCAGAUGGGUCAGCCUGGAAUGGGUGGGGAGGGACGUCCUGUGAGAAGGCAGCGGCAAGUAGAAUCUGCUCAUCUUUUCUUUGAACCUGGUGGGGAACUGGUUAAAACCAAAAUAUCUGUGUAGAAAUACAACUCCAUUAUUGAGUAUUUAUUGUAUGUACAUCAGGUACCUAUUAUACUCAAGUAACCAUUUUACAGAAGGAUGAGGAUCAGCGCUCAAGCCCAGGUAGGCCUCCAGAGUCCCAGCGCUCAGCUCUUGUGGGAUUUUGCCAGCUCCAUACAUGUUGGGGCCUGAGGGAUAACAGCUCCAAGGGGUUAUUUUCUUGCAUCCUGUGGUCUUAUUCUCCAUGCACGGGAGCAUCCUGGCCUUGGAACUCCCCCACCCUCCGCCGGCAUUUUCCCAUCUGCCUUUUCUCUGGUUUCCCCACCUUGUGGCUUAGAGACAUAAAUAAUGGUGUGGCGGUCCUGAGUUUAUAUAACCAUGACCUCCUACAGGCCUAGAUGGGGUGAGAUGAGGGGCCCAUGGGGUUGCAUCGGAAUCCACACAGGCAGUUGCGUGCCUGUCUGCAUUGGCUGGAUUCACAUCAGGGAGCAAGAAACGGGAGGCUUGAGCCCAGAAAGUGUGUCCUCAUCCAGCCAGGGUGUCUGGGCAACAGUCAUGAUUAGAGGGUGCGGUGGGGAGAAGGGAUGUGUAGCCUCUCUGCCAAGCGUCCUUUACCCUCUAUGGAUAGAUACCCAGUUCUCCCCUCCUCUCCUUCAAGUGUCUGAAACACAGGCUUCAGUGUCUGUUUUUAUAAGAGCUUUAUUAGGAUACAAUUCACAUACCAUAAAAUUCACUCUUUUAACAACUGAAUGGCUUUAGUACAUCCACAGAGUUGUGCAAGCAUUGCCACUAAUUUUAGAACGUUUUCACCCCCCAAAAGAAACCGUAUACCUGUUAACAUCACUCCUCACUAUUCCCUACUCCCAGUCCCUGGCACUCACUCUUCUAGUCUCUGUCUCUAUAGGUUUGCUUUUUCAGGACAUUUCAUAUAAAAGGAAUCGCAAAAUACG